ACUACUAACCCCGCAGAUGGUAGGAAUGUGGAAACACAUUGUGAAACAUGUCAGACCUAAAGAAGAAGUUGAGACCAUUCGGAAAAACAUUUUACUUAACCAGUUAAAACAAGACAAAAUGUCGGGGGAAAAAUAAAGGAAAAUUCACAAAAAGAAUCAAUCAGAUUUCCCAAAUUGAGACUUUCAAGCAUUAUGAAAACUCAGCAAAUAGGAUAGAGGCCAACAAAGCUGAAAUUAAAUCCUUGACUAGUAAAUGUGAGGAUUUGAAUGCAGAAUUAAAACGAAUGGGUAAAGUUCAGCAGGAAGCUGGAAAAAAAGUGUAUGAUGACCAAACGAAAAUCGCGCUCCUGCAGGAGAAGGAGGCACAGUUCAGAAAACUUCUCAAAUUAAAAGAUUCCAUCGAUCAAGUAAAAUGGCUGAUUCCUCAACAAGAAACGAAAUCGAGAAUUAUGGGAAGAUUCCAACCAAAAUAUAGUAGUUCACCGCUGUUCCAAACCUCAAACAGAAGCAUCUUGACAGAAAAGCAAACAGCUGACGUUCUGGAUUCGCUUCAUGGUCUUGAUUUCACAAUUAUGGAAGAACUUGAAAGAACUCCAACAGACUCCAAUGAAGAUGAGGAACGAAAAAGUAAACUCCACCUGCAUAUUUCUAACAUUGGCAGAAACCUCUCACCCUCAGCACUAUUAGCAGGUUUAACUUUGAAGCUGAAGACAUUGAAUCAAGAAUUAGUCGUUGCUGCCACGUCCCAAAACGUUGGAGAAGAAUAUUCUGCAUUCAAAAUUUGUCAAGAAGAAUCGGUUUUAUAUCAACAAUGUCAGUGGUCUCAAUGUUCCAAAGAAGAGUCUCACUAUUUCACUAUCAUAUUCUCAAAAACCCUAAAAAAAAGCAAAAAUUUCCCUGAAACACAUAUGGUCACAUCUCAGAGGAGAGAAGUUGAACUUAUCGGAGGUAAAAAUCUAGAUGAUCAAUUAAAGGAUUUUUGGAAAUUGAUAGCGGAAGAUAAGCAAAAGUUAGAAGAGAUUCAGAACUCAGUAGCGCAAAAACGAGAGGAGCUGAUAAGAAGAAAACAUAUGGUUGUUGACGCAGUUAUGAAAUCAGUCGGAGGACUCUCAGAAGAAGAUGCCGCAGAGUGGGUUGACUCCGUUGUCAACUAUUCAUUGGUGACUGAGAGGAUUAAGUUUCUGGAAAAAGAAAACGAUGCCUUGGAGCUACAAAUCUUGCGUUCAGAAGAUUCGAAGGACCUUUACUUUGAGAUGGAACAUGCUACAUUGGAGGCAGAACAAAAAAUUAAAUCUCUGCUGAAAAGCCUAGAAACAAGCCUUCUUCACCUCAAAAAAAACUCUGUGAUGAUUGAUAUCGAAGCUUCCAAACAGAAAAUAGUAUCAAAAAUUAAAAGCUUCCAAAAAAAAGAGCUGGCUCAAAAAUGGCUUCCUGAUAGUGACGAUCCGCUGUUGAGUUUGAAAGAUUUUAUCCAAUCAGAAGUAUCCUUGCUCGUCAGAAUACCAGUCGAAGCCUUGCAACUAGUUUGCGAGCCACAACACAUCACAAACAAUGUACCUUGCUUACCCAUGUACACCCCAUAUACAGCGGCUCAUUGUAUCCUUAGGAAUGUUCUUGAAAAUUUGUGCUGGAGUAAUAUGUCUCUCAAUGCGCUAGAAGAACUGAUGCCAUCACCUCCAAUAGAUUUCAAUGUGGACCAUCUAAUUGAAAGCACCAAGUCGUUAGAGCUAAACAACCGGUUGAAGUUGGAAGAACGCAUCUCUGAAUUUGAAGAAAUAUGCAAUGAAGGAGAACAGAAUAUUCAGCAGGCCACUGAGUUGAUACGCUUUUUGAAACAACCACCUGUAGAGAACUUCAUACCAGAGUCCAUGAUAUUAGAUGGCCUUAAUUUCAAUUCGUGGAAGCCAAUAAUCCUAAAGUAUCUUGAGGAAAAAUUCCUAGUAUAAUAUAUAAGAGCCCCAGUGAUCUCCUGUUUUUAAGUAUUAAUUUAAUUUUUACCAGUGUCUUGUUGAUUUGUUAAAGGUUUUCCAAUAUUUUGUAAAUUUUUUUUUUGUAAUUUUGUAAGACUGUUUUAAUUUUUUAGAUUGUUUAAUUUUGUGUCAAUUUUGUUUACUAUUUUCGACCAAUGUCACUAAGAAUCAGGUAUUUUUAAUAAAACUUCAUUUUGCAGGCAUUAUUUUGUGUAUGUAUUUCUAGUCUAGGUACUUCAUAUCAAAAAACCAACAGUAGGAUUAAAAUUUAGGCGCUGGAUGCGAGAAGGGUUUUUCUCCUUUACAAUGUUUCAGAAUCGCAACUAAUACUAUACUCAUGGAAAGGGAAGCAAUUGCAUGAAUUUCAUUAAAAAAUUUCCUGAAUAUUCUUCAUGAUUUAGCUAUGUUCUGCAAAAAAAAAUUCCCGAUAAAUCACCCAUUAAAUUCUUCACCGAGACAUAAAUUAGUGACAAGAGACUCUGAAACUCUACAUCUGAGAAAUACCCUCUUCGCACCAAGCACUCUAAUUAACAAGUACAGGGAAAGUCAGAAAAUUUUACUCAACCACUAUGACUGAAGACAAAUUCUGGGCAGGAACUGCUUACUUCAACCUUAAAUAGUCUAUACUUGUACAGAGAUUAGUAUGGAGGAACCAAGAUGUGAUUAGCUGAAACAGA
rnacentral:lncRNA from 1 species